UGGGGAAUAUUGCACAACGGGCGCAAGCCUGAUGCAGCCAUGCCGCGUGUAUGAAGAAGGCCUUCGGGUUGUAAAGUACUUUCAGCGGGGAGGAAGGUGUUGAGGCUAAUAACCUCAGCAAUUGACGUUACCCGCAGAAGAAGCACCGGCUAACUCCGUGCCAGCAGCCGCGGUAAUACGGAGGGUGCAAGCGUUAAUCGGAAUUACUGGGCGUAAAGCGCACGCAGGCGGUCUGUCAAGUCGGAUGUGAAAUCCCCGGGCUCAACCUGGGAACUGCAUUCGAAACUGGCAGGCUAGAGUCUUGUAGAGGGGGGUAGAAUUCCAGGUGUAGCGGUGAAAUGCGUAGAGAUCUGGAGGAAUACCGGUGGCGAAGGCGGCCCCCUGGACAAAGACUGACGCUCAGGUGCGAAAGCGUGGGGAGCAAACA
rnacentral:rRNA from 1 species